AUUGAACGCUAGCGGGAUGCUUUACACAUGCCAGUCGAACGGAGUGGCAGACGGGUGAGUAAUAUAUCCGAACGUGCCCACUAGCGGGGGAUAGCUACUCGCAAGAGUGGCUAAUACCGCAUACUAUUGGAGCGGCCGAUAUCUGUUUAGCUAGUUGGUGGGGUAACGGCUCACCAAGGCAACGAUCCGUAGCUGGUUUGUGAGGACGACCAGCCAGACUGGGACUGAGACACGGCCCAGACUACUACGGUAGGCAGCAGUGGGGAAUUUUGGACAAUGGGGGAAACCCUGAUCCAGCCAUCCCGAGUGUAUGAUGAAGGCCUUCGGGUUGUAAAGUACUUUUGGCAGAGAAGCGGUAUCUGCAGAAUAAGCACCGGCUAACUACGUGCCAGCAGCCGCGGUAAUUC
rnacentral:rRNA from 1 species